UACGUAGGGGGCAAGCGUUGUCCGGAAUCAUUGGGCGUAAAGAGCGUGUAGGCGGCCCGGUAAGUCCGCUGUGAAAGUCCAGGGCUCAACCCUGGGAUGCCGGUAGAUACUGUCGGGCUCGAGUCCGGAAGAGGAGUGUGGAAUUCCUGGUGUAGCGGUGAAAUGCGCAGAUAUCAGGAGGAACACCAAUGGCGAAGGCAGCACUCUGGGACGUGACUGACGCUGAGACGCGAAAGCGUGGGGAGCAAACAGG
rnacentral:rRNA from 1 species